CAAUAGCGUAUAUUAAAGUUGUUGCAGUUAAAAAGCUCGUAGUUGGAUUUGUGGCUGUCACGGGCGGCCUAUCACUUAGUGUUAGUGCUUGCCUGUGUCGCCAUCCUUGGGUGGAGCCCGUGUGGCAUUAGGUUGUCGUGCGGGGGAUGCCCAUCGUUUACUGUGAGAAAAUUAGAGUGUUCAAAGCAGGCUUAUGCCAUUGAAUAUGUUAGCAUGGAAUAAUAAGAUAGGACCUCGGUACUAUUUUGUUGGUUUGCGCACCGAGGUAAUGAUUAAUAGGGACAGUUGGGGGUAUUCGUACUUCAUUGUCAGAGGUGAAAUUCUUGGAUUUCUGAAAGACGAACUACUGCGAAAGCAUUUACCAAGGAUGUUUUCAUUAA
rnacentral:rRNA from 1 species